CUAACUGUCCCUUUUGUGUAACAAUUUGUCUUCCCACUGAGGUCAGCUUUUAAACAGAAAGUGCUGUUUGUUUGGAAGCAAAAAAGUUUCAUGUAGAAAAACAUCCAAAUGCAAUGUUUCGACACUGGAAAACCUUCCCACUCUCCCUGGCCUCCGCUCCAUUUUUCUCCAGAUGAAACAGGUCAAAUCUGACCUGAAUUCCUGGCAAGCUCCAGCAUCCUUCCAAGGGAAAUUUGCAGAUUGUCCCUGAGCCUCUGCUCUGCUCUGGGCACGGAAACGGCUUCACCCUGCACUCCCUGCUCAUCAAGAAGUUCAUUGUGCCCCUGCUCUGAGGAGCUUUUGUGAUGGAUCGGAUCUUGGCUGAAAUCACCCAAAUAUUCUGCAUUCAGUAGAGGGUCAGGUCACAUUCCCGGGCCCGAUUUACUACGCCAGCCUCCUCUGGGAAGGGCAGUGGAUUUUGUUUUGGGAAGCAAGUGCAACACCUUGAUUUUCCUCCCAAGCUGAAAACAGGUUUCCUCCCCAAAUGCUGUAAAGGCCGUGGCCGUGACUCCACUCCCCACUGCCGAGCUGCACCUGCAGUAUCAGCUCCUUGACACGAGUGGGAAGUGAUUGCCUCCAGAUGAGCUCUACGGAUGCAGGGGGAGUUUGCUUUGCACUUGGGAGGUUUUACCAGGAAAACAAAGCCAUCUGGGAUUGUGAAGUCUCAGGUAAUGCUAAGCAGAAAUUACUCACCCUGUGGAGUAAUAUUGAGGAGUCAAUUCCCAGCCCAUCUGCUAGCUGGCCUGAGAUAAGAGCGUCUCAGGCAUGGAGCAUGGAGAGCUGCCUGCCAGAGGGCUAAUUGCAGCACAACAUGAUGUUGUGAAGUACGUCCCUGCUGGGGACCUCACUGGGGCUCGGGAACCGCAUUUUAGCCCUGUGUGCACUGCAGAGACUUCAGAGCAGCACUGCUUUUGGUGUUCUUCUUGGGGACACCGGCACCGGCUCUUCACCUUUCGCUUGGCCCCGAGGAUGGCGUUUUCUGAGCCCUGCCCCAGUUUGCUGCAACUUUGUGUCUCCUCUUUUCCUAACUGUCAUUUGGCUGAAGAGCAAGAUGAGUUGCGUGAGAUCCACACCCCUUUGAAGCCGAUGUGUUUCUCAGAAAGGAGUUUGAGCUUUCCCCUGUCUUCCACCAAGCAGGUAAGAACACGCACCUGGAGUUGGACACCAGUCAAAAAAGGGUAGGUCCCUCCGAGCAGAGCACGAUUCCCAGGGAGCAAUCCUGCGCCUGGUGUUUCACCAGAGCAAGGAGGACCUUGAGAGCCCAGCUCUGCUCUGGAGAGCAGGCGCUCUGAGCGCCCUAUGGUCCCGUUGUCCUGCCUCGGCUCUUGCAAGAUGAGCUCCCACUGACAGCGCGAGAGGAGUCUGCCCUGAACCGUGACGCCUUCGUGGAGACACUUAAGUUUUCUCUUGGUGGUUUUAUCUUCCAGCUCAGUUGAGACAACCUGGAACUUACCAUGGAUCAGCUGAAGGAACCCAACUCAUAAACGAUCCCAGCACCAGGUAGGGUGAUGAGUACAUGCUUUUAAUGGCGUUCGGCUGUGGAAGGGAAAUGAGAGCUUGUAACCCUGGAAGAGCCAUCUUAGCUGGCUCCCAAAGGAGCGGAGGGAUUGCAGCUUUGACGGAGACGUGUCUAGCCACACUUUGCCUGUGGCUAACAAAUGGUUGUAAGUGCUUUCCAGUCCUUAGGAACCCAGUGAGCUGUGGCAGAGGAUCUCAGGGCACUGCGGCAUUAUCAAGCUUUGUCUUCUCCUGGUGGGAACAUGGUGGCCAAGUCUUGGCAGCUGUGGUCCGGGAGGGCUUUGCGCAGUGUUUGGGGCUGCAUUUGCCUUCUGUCCACGCUCAUCAUGGUGCUUCAGCACAAGAGCUGUGUUGUGAAUGUUGCUCGGUGGACUCAUAUGUGGCCCCCUCGGUUUCUGGGGGUUUCUGCUUGUAGAGGACGACGCUGUAUGCAGCAACCCCUGAGCUUUUAAUGUGAUGUCGUUUGGCUGGAAUCAACUGGUGUUCUUUUGGUUUUGUCUGUGUUGUCUCUGGCAAGGACCUGCUGGUGGGAGGGAGCUGCAAACAGCUCUGCGGGGAGGGUGUCAAAGGUCUGCAAUGUGUCGGGUGCUUUGAUAUGGUUUUCACCGCUCCCCAGCACCCGUGGCCGGUGUGCCAGCAGGGCCUCCUGUGUGGGGGCUCCUCA
rnacentral:lncRNA from 1 species